UUGGGUUUCACUUGGAAAAAACAUACAUCAUAUUGCAAUAUAAUUUACUUUGAGAUUUCAGUUUGGAAAAUGGCAUGGAAAUAAUCCAGCUUGAACAUCGUCCUCCUCACCUCCUGGACUAGGGCGAGGGCCCCUUAUAUUUCUUCAUGACAAUUGUGUCACAGUUCAAACGCUCGUACCCUGACUCCAUCUGGGAUUUGGAAUGCACUCAGGGAAGUGGCUGUGCAUGGAGACUAGAAAUGGAAGAGGCUUCCAAGGUCAUGCCUUUCAGGCUCCCUUCAAAUUCUACAGCUACUGUGAAGAGAGUUGCAUUCCCACAGAGAACAUGUCAGACUGGAGGAAAAUUGUGACAAAAGGUCUCCCCAGAGGUCUCUGAAACUUCGAUCUUAUCUCAUUCCACAAGGCAAAGGCCAGUUUCCUAAAUCAAAGAAUGAAACAAAGUACAUCUUUUUCAAGUAUUGUUUUGACAUCACUCCCUUUUAUACAACUGGACAGGCACUCCCAUUGUCUUUUUAAAUAAUUUUUAAACACUCCUGAACUUUGGCUUGGAGAUCCUCAUUUGAAAUGAUUUUAUCACUCUAGACAUACUAGCUCAUAUUUUUUAACUUCAACCUGGCAAAAGUUAAUAUCCCUCAUAAAACUCUACCCACUCUCUUCUCUAAGUAUCACAUAAACCACUCUUCCUGAUUAUACAUGCCCCAUCUUGAGCCAUAUCCAUUACUCUGUCAACUUUCCCUGGAGGUUAAUCUGCUAGUGAGAAUUUAAGUGGACUCCUGGGGUGGAGUAUUCUACAGUGGAUGGAACUUGGAUUCUGAAGUCAGUCAGUUCUGGUUCAAAUCCCAGUUAUUCCAUUUACUAGCUGUGUCAUGUUGGGCAAGCUAUGUAACCUCCCUAAAUCAUUGUUUCCUCACCUAGAAUAUGAAUACAAUAUUAAUAGUACUGGUAUAACAGUUGUUCUGUGAAUUAAAUAAGAUAUUGCAUAUAAAGAACUUAGUUCAGAGUAAACACAUUAUAAAAUUCAACACAUGUUAGUCCCCAUGAUUACAAUUCUUUUGGAGCACAAAAUAAUCAGAGAUAUGUAACAAAGAUGGUUGUGAAGAGAUGUUUAUGUACCAUUUUUGUAAGAGUAAAAAGUUAGAAACAAUUUAUGCCCAACUGUGGUUGACUAUGCAACCAAUUAUAAGUCAUGUUCUGAAUGUUGGGAAAUAUCAAGAUUGUAUUAGUGAGUAUUAAAAAAAACAUAAAACCUGCAGAGCAUCAAAUUUGGGAGGGAAAGUAUAUGCAUAGAAAAGAGAUUUGAAGAACCUACAUCAAAAAGUAGAUUAUAAUUAUCUCAACAGAGAAAAAGUAUAUGGAGUAUAGAUGGGUACUGGGAUUAUGAAGAUUUUAAAAAUGUUUUGUAUUUUUCUGUGCAUCCUAAAUUUUGUACCUUUUGUAAUUAGGAAAAUUACAUGCUGUUGAAAAAUAAUGGAUGAAGUUUAGCCUUCUCAGAUGAUCUCCUUCUGGCUCCAAUUAAUUCAGACCUCCAGCUUAUCCACUUCCUUUAUUUCCUUUUUCACUCUCUACAGAUUUAUGUUUCCUCUGCACAGCUGCAGUUGGUUUCAAAUAUUUGGCAGAGACUGUAGUUGGUGUUUAGAUAUAUUUAUGUGGGUUCUCUCUCCCUCAUCAGACUGCAUUUCCACGAGAGUAUCUUCCCUAUAUUUUCUCUGUAAUUGUGGAUAGUGGCUUGGAAGCUCUUUGUCCCAAAAGUUAACUGAUUGAGGUCAUUGUAAACAAUGCAAGAAGAAAAACUUGCUUAACUUGUUUCAUUAUUAACAUUAAUUGGGAGCUAAGGUUCGCAUGUUAGGAAUGGAGGGGUUUAUAGACUGGUUGGGAAUUAGGCCCUGUGCCCGAGGCAAUGCUUUGUGUUUACGCAGCUAUUUCAUUUCCUCCUGGAACAUAGGAAUACCAAGGCCUCUUGCAUUGAGGAAGGGUUACAUGACUGGUUCUGACAAGCAAAAUGGAAACAGAUGUGGUGUGCACCACUUCCAGACCCCAAAUCAUUUUACAUAUUCCUUUAUCAAUUCUUGCUUCCCCUGCUGUCUGCUGGCUGGAUAGUGCCAGGGUGAACUUGAAGCCACAAUAUGGUAGAGCCACAAGAUGGAAAGAACCUGGGUCCCUGAGCUUCUGCUUAGAGAGGAACUACUCAAGAGAAUUAUCUGAACAGACACAUCUGAAAUGAACAGGGUCAGUGAGAAAGAUAAGACUCUUAUUAAGUAAAAGUAUUGAGAUUUGAAGGCUAUUUAUUCUUGUAGUAACCCUAUCCCAACUAACAACAGAAAAUUAUACAAAUAGUAAAAGAAUUCAAGAUAACAUAUUUUAAGUGUCAAACAAAUGGAAUAUAAUUUUUGAAUUUGCCUAAUAUUUUACUGUUCUCCCAAAUCAUUUGCUUCCCUACCUUAUUCAAUUCUCUAAGAAACCUUGAUGAGUCUAUCUUUGUGUCACAAUUUAAGAAACUGGCCUUAGAGUUGUUACAUUCUUUGACCUAAGCUAGAACCAAAAUUUUCUGGCUCCAAAUACUGUACUCUUUGCCUUUAGGCAUAAAUACUAUAAGAGUAACUAAUGACUAAAUUAUUUAUAGAAAAGAUGUUUUGCCUAAAUUGUCUAGGGAGUAAUUUUUUGAACACUCGUUCCAGCAGCAGCUAAUAAAUGUCCCAAGAAAUAGAGUUCCAAGGCCAAAUGAGUUUGGGAAACACUGGGUUAAACAAAUGUGACCAGGAGUCUUCUACUUACUGCCAAUCUCUCAGAGCCUUUAACUUACAAUUUGGAGGCUCAUAGGGAGCCUAUGCAGCAUAUCCCAUACACCUGACCACAGAAUUCUUUGAUGAUAGAGCCAUCGUCAGGAGCAGAGUGUGCUGAAACAUGCCUGAGAAAGGUUUUCUAGAUAACAGCUCUCAUUCUCCACUGCACCCUGGUUCCACUUUAGUCUAUUCACUUCUUAGAGUACAUUUCUCAGCUAAUGUUGGGAACAACAAAAUUCUCUAGUAAGCUCAUGUAACCAAGAUCAAAUGGGACUUCCAGGAGAUUUUUUUUUUGUUUAGACGGAGUCUGAGCCCUGUCACCCAGGCUGGAGUGCAGUGGCACGAUCUUGGCUCACUGCAACCUCUGCCUCCUGGGUUCAAGCCAUUCUCCUGCCUCAGCCUCCCGAGUAGCUGGGAUUACAGACAUGUGCCACCAUACUCAGCUAAUUUUUUGUAUUUUUAGGAGAGAUGAGGUUUCACCAUGUUGGCCAGGAUGGUCUCGAUCUCUUGACCUCAUGAUCUGCCCACUUCGGCCUCCCAAAGUGCUAGGAUUACAGGCGUGAGCCACCACGCCCGGCCCCAGGAGAUUUUUUUUCAAUUGCAUUUAUUUUUUAACUUAUCUCAAGUAAGAGCAGGACACAUUCAUUGCACCUAGAAGGUAGAAAAUAUAAAUAGAAGAAAGAGAGGUGCAAAUCAACCCACUUCUAUUCAACCCACUGGCAUAGUCAACCUGUGACAUUUACUACCAUGGGGAGCUGCUGAGGCAGGGUAGAGUUGGAUUUGAGGAAGGAUUAGAUAAUUUUAUGAGCAUGACUAACAUUUAAAGCUAUGUGAGCUAAAACAAAAAAGAUACGAGGAAAUGAAGUCUCAUGUUGCAGGAUGUAAAUUGAUCACAUGUGGAAGGAGGGGCAAAAAGGAAUUCCCACCUCGCAAUCCAGCGUGGGAUAUUACAGAAUGAGCCAGGUGCAAUAGGCUUGACUUUCCCUCUUUGUUUUCCUUUUCCUUUUCUCUGGUACAUCUGAUUCUGGCUAAACAGUAGGUGGGGAUAUUAGCCCUGAUAAAUAGCGAUUUGAUCCCACAAGGCAACUCCUAUUGAAAACCAAGAUAACACAAAUAUUUUCAAUUCUUCAAGUUGAACCUAGACUAAGUAUUUUGUUUUGUGGGUGAUCCCUCUGUUCUUUUAUUAAGAGAAGAUCAUUUUAUGAGAGCUAAGAAUAUUUGCAUUCCUAGGAUUUAAAAUUCUCAACAAACACAUUGCUCAAGCAAAUAAAAAGAAUAGAACCAAGUAAGGUAAGAUCUUCUUAAUUAGUUGAGACUCUUGAGCAAGGAUGAAUCCAGUCUUGAAGUACUGGCUAUUUCAAAAUACUCAUUUUACCUUAAACAUACAAAUAAAAUGUGUUUCUGAGCUGCAGUAUUCUGAGCUUGGUGAUGAUUGAAGGCCCUGGAAGAGGGGAUGGCAGAUUUUAUUGGUCUGGAUGGGUUCUCACUCGCCAUGUCCCCAUGGGAAAUUUUGUAAAAAUAUUCAACUCUAAUGGUUCAGUGAAAAGCAUUUGGGCCUCAGGGAAUCAACGGGAGCUAAGUUUUAUAGAGUGAAUCCCGUCUGGGACUAGAAGAAUUAAGAAACAGAACUAUGGGAGACAGGCAAGAGGAAUACCAAUACCAGCCCCAUGGUACAAAAAGUUAGUCUUUCAUUGUAUAACCAGUGCUAUGAUUUCCUGCAUUAAGAUUACAAAAGCAAUCAGAUCAGAGAUUGUGGACUUUUUUCAUUAUAGGAUUUGAGUUGACCCUUUCUUCAACUAUGAAUUCUUUGGUUGGGGAACAGCCCUGAUUUCCAAUAUGAACCCUAAAUAUCAUUUGCUUCAGGAAGGAUUUUUCCUGUUGGUUCUUAGCAAUGUUUCUGAACUUGUGGCAAUGGUUGUCUAUACAACAUUGACUACUCCAUUCUCUUAUCCCUUCCUCCCUAGCAUAGACCACUUCUCAUUAUAAAACUUUUCUUUCUUUUUUUUUUUUUUUUUUUUGAGAUGAACUCUUGCUCUGUUGCCCAGGCUGAAGUGCUGUGGCACAAUCUUGGCUCACUGCAACCACCGCCUCCCGGGUUCAAGUGAUUCUCCCACCUCAGUCUCUCAAGUAGCUGGGAUUACAGAUCGAGGAAAGGAGGUUUGCCUGAAAAGGAGCCAGAGUGGUUCUGCCCAGACUGACGUGCUUCUGGCAGCCGGUGUGUACCGCUUGGUGACUGCUCUUUCAUUUCAGAUGGCAAAUGCCCAAGAGCGCAAACCGGACCAUACAAGUGCCAUGAAGCCUCUGUUCAGAACACAUCUGCUCACAUCCCAUUGGCCAGAAAAGUCACAUGGCAAAGCCCAACGGCAGAGAUGAAUGCCUUGUCUGCUCUACAGAAGCACUGCAGUUAUAUGACAAGGCGUGUGGAUGCAAACGCUUUUAUAGGUCUGCUGUUGCCCUGGAGGUGCUGUCAGUGGAGUCUAAGAUUUGGUUCCCUUGUUUGUCAAUAUUCGUCAAUCAGAAUUCUUGAGCAUCUGUCACUUUGAGGCACUGUGCUAAGCACUCAGCAUAAAUUGACUGAAGAAAACAGACACAGUCCCUGCCUUCCCUGAGUGUGCAUUCUAGUGGGAGCAACAGACCUUAAAUGAUACCUUUCUAAAAUUGAGUAUAAAAGGAACUAAUGAGAUAGAAACUCAGAAGGACAAAGACAACAGGUGAUGAGAGAGAGAAUUGUGACUGCAAAGAGUGAACAUAUUUUUGGAAGAUAAAAAGUGGAAGGAGGAGUGAGCAAAAGUAAGAAUGCUGUAUACCAAGUGUGAGCAAACUGGAUGCCAAUGUCAAAGGAGCUAAGUCACAGCAUCUAAACCCCCUAGUCCAGGCAAGUGUUCCUCCUCACCCUGCCAGGAUGCCAGAAUCUUACUAUUCUGUGGAGAAGUUGAACUGGAGUGGCUCCACACCCAGGAUGCCGGCCCCAGAAGAAGUGGAGGUGCAAAAGAAAAGGGUCUGAGCACAAGUGUAGAUACUGAAACAUAAGAUUUCUUCUCCUUCCGGGUGCGCCAACCUUAUGGGUUUGGGUUAUAAUCCUGUGGUAGUAUCAUCUGACUUUUUAAAACUGUAUUUUUUAUUCCUUUUAUAAAAAUUUUACUCACACAUACACAUGCACACACACACACGCACACAUACAUGUAUUUUUUUUAAGAGAAGAGGAAAAGCGUUUCUUGCGGAGGAAACAGCCUGUGUGAACAUCCUGACCAGUGCAUUCAGCGGAGUGGCAAAGAAGACCUGGCAGUGCAAGAGCAGCAGUAGGAGGAGGACAUGGGGAGGAUGAGGUUGGAGAGAGCGGGGUAAGAGGAGGACAUGGGAAGAUGAGGUUGGAGAGCGUGGGGCCAGAUGCUGCGGGACCUUGAGGGCCAUCUGAAAAGUCUGGGUUUUCUUUGAAAUGUAGCCAUGAAAGGUUUUUAAGCCAUGGGUAACAUGAUCUUAUUUAGGUUUAAAGAGUUACUCUAGUUGUAUAAAGAAUAGUUUUGUCACAUAUUUAGCUGGGUCUUCGCAUGAAAAAUUAUGUAUCCCAGUACUUUAGAGCGGAAAGGACCUUCAAGAUCAUUUAGUCCAACCCUUUCUUUUAAAAGAUAAGCAAACUAAGAAGCAGAAAAUUUAUGAUUUGCCCAAGGUCACAGAGCUAAUAACUAUGUGAGGCUUUUAAACUAGGAGUUGCAGGGUGAUAGAUUAUACUUUUAAGAAAUCUUUCUACUUUAUAUUUCCUUUGGCCAGAAGUGAUGUCUCCCUUUUCUGAACUUUCAUCUCACUUUAUUUUUCUCUCCUAUGGUGCUUACUCAUUUAUUACCUUGAUCAUAGUUCUUUGUGUUCUUGUCUUGUCUUAUCUCCUUUAUGAGACUAUAAAAGCAAUCCCUGGAGAGCAGGAAAUAUGGUCUUUACCUUACGUGUCUCUGUAGGACAUUGCCUGUAGUAGGUGUUCAGUCAAUGUUUGUUAAGUAAACAGAUCAAUGGACAGGUGAUACGUGAGUGAAUGAAUGAAUGAAUGAAUGAGUUCUCCAUAUGCUAUAAAUACUGAGUGUUUACUGACUGAAUAUGCACGUGUAGAUUAUACUCUCCCUGAUUUAUCAUUCUAGGCUACUUCCUAGCUAUGUUUUCAUUCAUUUUUCUCUUAUAUGUACAUAAUGGAAAGCAGUUAUUUUUGAUCAGAAGAAAUGAGGUGGCCUAGAAAAAUAUCACAUUUCUAAGUCAGGUAAUUCUUUCUUCCAAGAUUAUCAGCAGGGAGAGCCUCUCCACACUCUCCCCUUCCUUCCCUCCCACCCUACUGGCUAGGUUUAAAUGUUCUUUCUCAACACAUGAUCUUUUGGGAGCUUACUUCUGAAUUUUUUUUUUCAAGAGAUGGCUGAGACUGCCCAUAAGAAACUAACCAAGUGUCCGGGGUAAAACUGUGAUAUCACAAAGGAGAAAAAUGUUUUACUUAAGGUUAAAAAAAAACAGCUCUCUGCUGGAGAGAGCUGUAACUAUGCCCUCUCCAGCAGAGCAAUAUACAUACAUCCAAUGAAAACUAAUGCUGCCAACAGUGGAGAAAGCCCUGAAGGAGAUUUGGGAGCCAUGGGUGAUGUCCCUGCCUUCGAUAUUGACUUGUUCAAUGGCUCUGAUAAUUCAUGAGCACUCUCUCUCUCACUUCACCCCUGCCCUUGGUUUCCUCAUCCAUAAAAGAUACAUAAAAAUAUUAGAAACAAUUGGUCAUAGGUCCAGUUUCUGCUACCACAAAAUGACCCAUUAAUUCUGUCCAUAAAAUUGGUCAGACUGGUUUGGGGGAUAAUUAUUACAUUUUUGGACUCACUGAUUUGGCAUCUUGCACAUACGUAGUCAGGCGCAUGUUGAGAAUCUUUGCCGGAGAUGAGGUUAUACAAUGGAUUUUGGCUCCCUGCAUGAAGAAACAAGCUUCAGGGCAUGCGAUUUGAUGAUCUAAGGUCUCCACUAAGGCAAUCGGCACUCAGAAGACAAACAUGACUCAUUGUGUGUGGGAACUCAUUCCACUGUUCACAAACUUCGGUUUGAGGGUUGGGAAGGUCUGGAAAAGAUUCUAGUGUAAAGCCUAAUUCAGAAGGGUACAGACUGUUUUCUUUGUAAAGUGACACAUGUCAGUGUUGUGAAACAGUGGAAACUGGAAGGAAAAUAAAAUAUUGUGUCGACUGUCA